GGAAAAUGGAAAUCAAUGCCAGAUGCACAGGGAACAGCGUUGAAAGCGUUUUCAUUUACGUUUCCAAUUGUUCGUUGGCGAUGCCAACUCCAAUCAGCAGCAGCAAGCAGUAGAAGCGCAAACGUGAACAAUUAAUUCAAUAUUGUUUUAUCCAAUUAAAUGUGAUAUAUUGUUGAGAUAUGAGAUGUUACCUGGGAGCUAAAAUGGUAAAUGCUUUGCCGAGUCUCUGAAUAUGCCGUUCAAAUCGUUUUGUGUCACUGCUUCUAAUCGAAUUAAUGUGCCGGGUUUGGUUACCCUUUAGCAGGCCAAAUCCAGCAGACAAUCCUUUCGGAACCGACCCAAUAUGGUGUCAAUCAAAUGCGGUCAAACUGUCACAGAAGCAGCAUUCAGACUUUGCAGCACUGCAAAAAAGAAACCACAAAAUCAAUUAAUUUUAUUGGCCAUCUUCCUGUGCCGUGCUCUAGCCACAGAACCGCACAGGGGAAACCCGAAGUUCGCUUGUGGUGAAAAACUAUUUCCCAAACAGAAAGCAAUUCGCUUUUAUGGUGACCCUCUCUGUUAGGGUAUCCCAAGUGAAAGUGGCAUUGUAUCAGUCCGAUUCGUCUUGAAAAUAGAGAAAAUCUGACUGAUAAAGUCAUAUUGUCCGAUGAGAUCCAAGGGUGUUUCUCAUUCGUAAGGUGCCUGAAACAAAU
rnacentral:lncRNA from 1 species